UCCUUUGUGGUGUAGUGGUCAGCACGCUCGGCGUGUAUUCGAGAGGUACGAGGUUCGAGUCCUGGCGAGAGUA
rnacentral:tRNA from 1 species